rnacentral:rRNA from 1 species
AACGUAGGUUCCGAGCGUUAUCCGGAUUUACUGGGCGUAAAGCGCGUUCAGGCGGUUUGGCAAGUCGGGCAUGAAAUCUCUCGGCUCAACCGGGAGAGGUUGUCCGAUACUUCCAGACUUGAGGGCAGUAGAGGGUGGUGGAAUUCCGGGUGUAGUGGUGGAAUGCGCAGAUAUCAGGAGGAACACCGAUGGCGAAGGCAGCUCGCUGGGACGGUACUGACGCUGAGGCGCGAAAGCGUGGGGAGCGAACAGG